rnacentral:lncRNA from 1 species
AAUGAUUCAGAGAAUCUACAAGGGUUGGAAAGAUGCUAGGUUGGAAGGUCAGUGGAUUUUUUUUCUGUUGUUUAUUUGUCAAAGAAGCUGGAUAAAGUUGCUAUAAAUGAAGUCACAAUUUGGAGGAUUUCAAGCAGAAUGUUUCUCCUUUACAAUGAAUCAGAACAAAACGCUCAAGGAUUUUAUGACACCAAGCAUGCUGCCUUCUAUUAGGUUUUUAAGAAGAUUGAAAAUUGGUCGGAGAAUAUUAAUGUUAACAUCAGGUUAACAUGGUUUUCUUGUCAAGGUGUUCUAAUAUAUCUUGGAAUGUUCAAACGCUUAAGAAGAGAGCUGAAAGGUAUGGAAGGUUCAUUGGAAUGGAUAAGAAAACAAUUCAUUUCUAGUUUUUCGUUCAUGGUGUAUCAUCCAAAUUUGAUGAAAGGAUAAAAUUGAAGAGUGGUGAUGUCGUCCAUUAGAUUAAUGUUAUGAAAAUGCAUAUUUUUUUGCUUUCUUAAGGUUGGAGGUAGGUUUGACAUUGAUGUCUAUAUUAGAUUUAGAAAUGUGUCCAUAUUGUAAUAAAUAUAUAAUUAUUUUCUAUGUAUUUAAACGAUAAAUAAAUAAAUUUCACAUUUCACUGUUA